GUACCAGACAGAGGCCAGGCAGUCUGCAGAGUGGACCUGGGAAGAGGACUAUGUCCGAAAACUGACGGAGCACCAGGAACUACAAGGCUUGAGCAGUGAGACAGCCAGCUGCACUCGGGAUGUCACAACACGUCUUGAUAAAUUAGAGAAGGAAAUAAAGACGAUUGAGAAGCAACAUGCCCUCCAAGAAAGAUGGAUUCUGACAAGUGAAUCGUGUCUCCACAUCCA